AAAUAUUGAAUAUUGUUUUUUCCUUUAGAGAAGAAAUUGUCUAAUUAAUAAAAAGCGAAUAGUGACAAAGAAAUAUAGCUACGAAAGAAAUAAACCAAGCACGGGAUGUGCAAAUUUUGCAUGUGGUUGGUUUGUACAUUCGUCGUAUUGUUAAUGCUGUUCGUGGCCCUUCAAUUUGUUGGCGUUGUGGAACAUAAAGAGAACGAGAACGUUGUAGUAGAAUUCUUUCAUUAUAUAACGAGCGCUAUGAAAGCUAAUUUAUAAUUUGUUAACUGUAAUAGCUAUGUUAAGAAUUACUGAAUUUCUAACUUUAUAUUUAUGUAUAAAUGUAUGUACACUUGAUAAAUAAAUAUUAAUAAUUACUGA
rnacentral:lncRNA from 1 species